rnacentral:rRNA from 1 species
UACGUAGGGGGCAAGCGUUGUCCGGAUUUAUUGGGCGUAAAGAGCGUGUAGGCGGCCGUACAGGUCAGCUGUGAAAACUCGAGGCUCAACCUCGAGACGUCGGUUGAAACCGUACGGCUAGAGUCCGGAAGAGGAGAGUGGAAUUCCCGGUGUAGCGGUGAAAUGCGCAGAUAUCGGGAAGAACACCCGUGGCGAAGGCGGCUCUCUGGGACGGUACUGGACGCUGAGACGCGAAAGCGUGGGGAGCGAACAGG